UUCCUACGGGGGGCAGCAGUGAGGAAUAUUGGUCAAUGGGCGGAAGCCUGAACCAGCCAAGUCGCGUGAGGGAAUAAGGCCCUACGGGUCGUAAACUUCUUUUGUCAGGGAGCAAUUGAGUCCACGUGUGGGCUUAGCGAGAGUACCUGAAGAAAAAGCAUCGGCUAACUCCGUGCCAGCAGCCGCGGUAAUACGGAGGAUGCGAGCGUUAUCCGGAUUUAUUGGGUUUAAAGGGUGCGUAGGCGGAAUAUCAAGUCAGCGGUAAAAAUUCGUGGCUCAACCCCGUCGUGCCGUUAAAAC
rnacentral:rRNA from 1 species